rnacentral:rRNA from 1 species
AGCAGCCGCGGUAAUUCCAGCUCCAAUAGCGUAUAUUAAAGUUGUUGCAGUUAAAAAGCCCGUAGUUGAAUUUCGGGAUCAAUAUAUCGGUCAUGCUUAGGUAUGUACUGGUAUUAUUGAUUUCUCCCUUCUGAAGAACCAUGAUGUCAUUAAUUUGAUGUCGUGGGGAAUCAGGACUGUUACUUUGAAAAAAAUUAGAGUGUUUAAAGCAGGCAUACGCUUGAAUACAUUAGCAUGGAAUAAUGAAAUAGGACGUUUGAUUCUAUUUUGUUGGUUUCUAGGAUCGACGUAAUGAUUAAUAGGGAUAGUUGGGGGCAUUAGUAUUCAAUUGUCAGAGGUGAAAUUCUUGGAUUUAUUGAAGACUAACUACUGCGAAAGCAUUUGCCAAGGAUGUUUUCAUUAAUCAAGAACGAAAGUUAGGGGAUCGAAGACGAUCAGAUACCGUCGUAGUCUUAAACCAUAAACUAUGCCGACUAGGGAUCGGAUGAUGUUAAUUUUUAAUGACUCAUUC